UACGUAGGGUGCGAGCGUUAAUCGGAAUUACUGGGCGUAAAGCGUGCGCAGGCGGUUCGUUGUGUCGGCGGUGAAAGCCCCGGGCUUAACCUGGGAAUGGCCGUUGAAACUGGCGAACUGGAGUGUGGCAGAGGGGGGUGGAAUUCCGCGUGUAGCAGUGAAAUGCGUAGAGAUGCGGCGGAACACCGAUGGCGAAGGCAGCCCCCUGGGCUGAGAUUGACGCUCAGGCACGAAAGCGUGGGGAGCAAACAGG
rnacentral:rRNA from 1 species